AUGCCUACAGCUGUCCUCCUAUACCUACAGCCGUCCUCCUGUACCUACAGCCGUCCUCCUGUACCUAAUGCCGUCCUCCUAUGCCUACAGCCGUCCUCCUGUACCUACAGCCGUCCUCCUAUACCUACAGCCGUCCUCCUGUACCUACAGCCGUCCUCCUGUACCUACAGCCGUCCUCCUAUACCUACAGCCGUCCUCCUGUACCUACAGCCGUCUUCCUGUACCUACAGCCGUCUUCCUGUACCUACAGCCGUCCUCCUAUACCCUAUACCUACAGCCGUCCUCCUAUACCUACAGCCGUCCACUUGUCAUGUCCUCCUAUACCUACAACCAUUCUCCUAUACCUACAGCCGUCCUCCUAUACCUACAGCCAUCCUCCUAUUCCUACAGCAGUCCUCCUACACCCUAUACCUACAGCUGUCCUCCUAUACCUACAGCCGUCCUCCUAUACCUACAGCCAUCCACUUGUCAUGUCUUUCUAUACCUACAGCUGUCCUCCUAUACCUACAGCCGUCCUCCUAUACCUACAGCCGUCCUCCUAUACCUACAGCCGUCCUCCUAUACCUACAGCUGUCCUCCUAUACCUACAGCCGUCCUCCUAUACCUACAGCCGUCCUCCUAUACCUACAGCUGUCCUCCUAUACCUACAGCCGUCCUCCUAUACCCUAUACCUACAUCCGUCCUCCAAUACCUACAGCCGUCCCCCUAUACCUACAGCCGUCCCCCUAUACCUACAGCCGUCCUCCUAUACCUACAGCCGUCCUCCUAUACCUACAGCCGUCCCCCUAUACCUACAACCGUCCUCCUAUACCUACAGCCGUCCUCCUAUACCUACAGCCGUCCUCCUAUACCUACAGCCGUCCUCCUAUACCUACAGCCGUCCUCCUAUACUUACAGCCGUCCACUUGUCAUGUCCUUCUAUACCUUCAGCCAAAAUGUUGGAUUAAUUCAUUCCUUGAUUACAUUAUCUACCAUCUCGGAGGUCAGAAAACCUCCCACAUUGAUUCAACAGACAGUGUCAGCAUCUCAUCAAUACUGUCAUGGUAA
rnacentral:lncRNA from 1 species